GACGAACGCUGGCGGCGUGCUUAACACAUGCAAGUCGAACGGAAAGGCCCCUUUGGGGGUACUCGAGUGGCGAACGGGUGAGUAACACGUGAGUAACCUGCCCUUGACUUCGGGAUAACUUCAGGAAACUGGGGCUAAUACCGGAUAGGAAUCCUUGCUGCAUGGUGGGGGUUGGAAAGCUUCGGCGGUUUUUGAUGGACUCGCGGCUUAUCAGCUUGUUGGUGGGGUAGUGGCUUACCAAGGCUUUGACGGGUAGCCGGCCUGAGAGGGCGACCGGCCACAUUGGGACUGAGAUACGGCCCAGACUCCUACGGGAGGCAGCGGUGGGGAAUAUUGCACAAUGGGCGGAAGCCUGAUGCAGCAACGCCGCGUGCGGGAUGACGGCCUUCGGGUUGUAAACCGCUUUCAGCAGGGGCGAAGCUUGUGGUGACGGUACCUGCAGAAGAAGCACCGGCUAACUACGUG
rnacentral:rRNA from 1 species